rnacentral:tRNA from 1 species
GCCUUCGUGGUGUAGUGGUUAGCAUGCUCGGUGCGUAUUCGAGAGGUCCAUGGUUCGAAUCCAGGUGAGGGCA